CCGAGUGAUGCACGCGUGCUCCGUGACUCACGUGGGUGUAAUUCUUUCUUGCAGAAACAGCACAGACCCAACACAGAUGUUUUCAUUUUACCUCUUGAGGUGGACACAUUUUAUCACCUCUCCUGCUUACUGAUCUGUAAGCUGACUAUGGACUGAAACCUCUGCAAACUGUGAGCUGAAACAGACCUUUCCUCACUAACAUAAUGGAUGAAGAAGCAUUGUGAAAACAAGUUGUGGAGAACAGAGCUUUGUUGACUGGAAUGUAGAGGUGAAGGUGAGAGCUGGAGUGGCCAUGAUGGACAAAACACUGAGACAUUUGGUGAAAUAUGAAAAUAUGAGAGAGCAAGUGUUUCCUGUUCUUCAUCUCUGACUUCAUUCCUGAGUUCCAGAAGGGUAGAAUAAGUAAAAAUAUAAUUAACUACAAGCAACAAGAUUAAGAACAAAGAAGGAGAAAAAUUAGAUUCUUUCCUGGUGUCAUAGCAAUGGUUUCUUUCACUCAGCUGAAAAUUUCAUAUGCAAUACACUAGGUAGAAACAACUGUCUCUGUGGUGAAAAGGACUGGGUGCUUAUGGACUGCAACAGACUGGCAGCAUUGACAGCCCUGGAUUUAUGUUUACAAGGGCCAGUUUAUCAGCCUGAGCUUUCCCUCAGAAUCUCUUGGUGAUCUAGUUCCUCAUGUUUUGAGGUGAAUUGUUCAAGCAAAAAAAAAAAAAAAAAAAAAAAAAAAAAAAAAAAAAAGAGAGAGAGAGUGAAAGAAAGAAAGUCUUAUCUAAUUUGAAGACUGAAGAAAUCAUUUGACUAGUUUUUCAAGGAAUUCUGGAUGUAGCUGGGCAUCAGAGUGCUCAGUUAUCUAAGCUUACCACAGUGCCAUGAUAAUUGAAACAGAACAACUUUGCUGAUGAGGUAUGCAGUAUUUGAUAAACGUUCUGCAAGUAGAAGCCACACUAAAAAAUGGAGUGAGACAUGUGGGGAGGAGUCUCCAAGCCCAUUCCAUGUGGGAGGGUACAGAGUGUCAUUUAUUGAUACUAAUGCAGCCUGGUGGAUUUAGAAGUCUUGGGAGACUCUAGCCAUGAGGCAAUCGGGCUGAUUAUGGAAAAGCGAUAAAUACCUUAACAGCAUAUGCAUCUGAAUUAGAAAUGAAAUAAUUUGAAAGCCAAUGCAGCAUAGACUUUAAAUUGCUUUUGGCCUACCAGCUUCAUAUACUGGCCCACUCGCAUAAUAAUUAAGCCUGGGAGUUCAGUUCUUAGAGAGCAAAGCUAUUACUCUUCCUAGACAGGCAGGAAUCCUAUAAUACUUACAUUCACGUAAGUCAGAAGAAAACAAAAAAGGAUAAAUUGAACGACAUCUUGUGUUUUGAAAAGACUGAUGCUUGUGAACUUGUGUGUGGGAGGAGGAGCCAACACUUUGCCAGCUUAUAAAUAUAACUCCCUUUCCCCACAAGCUCCUUAUUCAUGUGCUGGAUGAUUAAUGUCCAGGGCUACAUCAUUACACUCAGCAGCUACUGCAGACUUGGCUUGAUUGAAUGUGGACUCAGUGGUCAUCGUUUUCCACACAGUGAGAAGCAACUUUGAAUAGUAAAGUUUUGUCCUAAAUGUCUGCCUUCUUUGAGCCCUUCACUGGGGGUUGCACCUGAUAAGAGCUCUCACUCAGUGGUAGCUCUUGGAUAACUAGAGUAGGCAUCUAAAGCUCUACAGUUGUGGAUGGACAUGCUCAAGAGGUCUAUCAAAUCACUUGCUCUUUGGCUUUACUUAUUUUUUUAUUCUCCUUAAAAAGUUUAUGAGUUGUGUUCACAGUAAGCAAUGUAAAGUGAAUGGAUGAUUCAAUGCCACCCUCAAAAUGAUGAAUGAUUCUGUGGGAGUGAGGAGAGGGAAACAUCACAUACAUAAAUAAUAAACAGAAUAAAGGGAGGAAUAAGAAAAUGUUGAGAUAAGAGAUUAGUUCACUAAGUUGAAGAAUACACGCUUGCAAUUUCAUUUUGAAACAUAAGGUUGUGAUAUUACCCCUAAGUCAUGUCACAGUGGUUUUAUUUUCAGGAAGAACAAGCUACUAGAAAAUAGAAAGGAAGAACAGAAUCUAUUAAAGACAUUAAGUUCUGUCACAUCUCCUGUGUAAAAGGGACACUUAUCUGGGUUUAACAUGGUGUUGCUUAAAUUAUGGUCCAAAGCUCUUGAUCUCAGAAACUAUUGUAACACGUAUAAAGGAAGACAUAUCAUACUUAACCUGAGUUUUGAACCCAAAUUCAGAAUUAACAUUUGAAAAAAUUAAAUUAACAUUUAAAAAACUCAUGAGGACCUACUUGUAUGUAUUUCUUUUCUCCAUCAGAAGCUUGAAAAUCAUCUUUACACCCACUAAAGUUUAAAACCAAUGAGUGGGGAAGGAGAAAAUGUCACUGGAAAUCAUUAAUCAAGAGACUUGGAGAGGUUUGGAGAUAUUGCCUCUGGUUUCUAUUGUAUCUCCACAUGCAUGCAUUUAAUUAAGUGGGGAGCAUUUAUCAGAAAAGAAUAGCGUAAGUGUCUUAGUUACUUUUUACUCACUGCUGAGACAAAACACCUAAAGCCCAAAGUUGGGAAAGGAAAGGUUUAUUCCUUACAGUUUUCGGAGAUUUCAGUCCAUACUCAGUUGGCUCCAAGGCAGGGUGGCAUGGCUGGGCAGCAGUUCAUGGCAGCUCCAAACAGCAAGGCAGGAACUGGCAAAAGAGCAAGACACACUUUCUUCCUGCCAUUACAUUACAUCCUGGUUCCACCCCUAGGUGGGGGUAGCACUGACACCAUCAAUCCAAGCACUAGACAAUGAACCAAUCACAAAUGCACAAUGCAAAUGCAUGAGGCCUGGGGGACACAGACAUAAACCAUGACAAUAAGGAAUGAAGAAGUUUGAAAAAGAUGAGAAGCUAUACAAAUGUAGCAUUUCCUCUUCCCUCAACUCUCACCCAGACAUUCCAAUUAGGGUAAUCAUUUUACAGUAGAGGUGGCAAAUGCCUGGCGUUUGUGCUGCCUUUUGUACCUUCCAUUCACUAUAGUCAUUGUUCAUUCAUAGAUUACUAUACUUUCCUGCUGAGCCCUGAAAUUGUCUAGCAAUUUGUUUGAACAGAUUCCUUCAUGUAACCACAUUCAUUCAAUUGAAGUUACUAUGGGUGAUGAAACCUUCUUGCCAAAAAGUAAUUAAUUAUGGACUCCUUAAAAGAAAGAAAUGGAAGAAAAAAUCAGUUCUCUUACACAAAGUGUCCUUUAAAGGAUUUUUGAAUGUAGUUGCUCUUUUUUUUUAGUUUCAUGUAUAUGAUGUUCUAAGACUAGUGUGGGAUCCUGUUGUAAGAAUUGUAUUUCCUAUAGAGAAAAGCCGAAAUAUUAGGAAAAGCUGAAGUUUGACAGACUAUCAGGUUCUGAGUUGGAGUAGGAUGGAGGUUUGUGGAUAGUUUAGAGAGCUGUUCUUCUGGUGAGAGACAUUUAGGCGAGGGGAGUGAUCAACUGGAGUUUAUGACACUGACACCAACCAGCUGAGUCACAACCUUGCUGGAUGCCUUCCUAGCACCUUGGAUGGAGGGGCUCAAAUGCUUCAUCUUCAGCCACAUCAUCUGUGGGAUGAAGGAAGUGAUGCCAGCUCCUCCCUCUAUAUGCUGUCCAGUGAAUUAAGUGACAUAAUGCCUAGUGUCUGACCCAUGGAUGCUAGAAACUGUUGACUCAUGAGAACAGAGCUGUAUGUAUUUCUUUUGUUUUUCUCUGUUAGAAGCCUGAAACACUGAAGGGUUAACAGGCAUCGAGAUAAAUAAUAAUAAACAGACAAAAUUAAAUCA